UAGGGAAUCUUCCACAAUGGGCGCAAGCCUGAUGGAGCAACACCGCGUGAGUGAAGAAGGGUUUCGGCUCGUAAAGCUCUGUUGUUAAAGAAGAACAGUAUGAGAGUAACUGUUCAUACGUUGACGGUAUUUAACCAGAAAGUCACGGCUAACUACGUGCCAC
rnacentral:rRNA from 1 species